GGGGAAUAUUGCACAAUGGGCGAAAGCCUGAUGCAGCAACGCCGCGUGAGUGAUGAAGGUCUUCGGAUUGUAAAGCUCUGUCUUUUGGGACGAUAAUGACGGUACCAAAGGAGGAAGCCACGGCUAACUACGUGCCAGCAGCCGCGGUAAUACGUAGGUGGCGAGCGUUGUCCGGAUUUACUGGGCGUAAAGGGUGCGUAGGCGGAUGUUUAAGUGAGAUGUGAAAUACCCGGGCUUAACUUGGGUGCUGCAUUUCAAACUGGAUAUCUAGAGUGCAGGAGAGGAGAAUGGAAUUCCUAGUGUAGCGGUGAAAUGCGUAGAGAUUAGGAAGAACACCAGUGGCGAAGGCGAUUCUCUGGACUGUAACUGACGCUGAGGCACGAAAGCGUGGGUAGCAAACAGGAUUAGAUACCCUGGUAGUCCACGCCGUAAACGAUGAGUACU
rnacentral:rRNA from 1 species